rnacentral:rRNA from 1 species
UACGUAGGGCGCGAGCGUUGUCCGGAUUUAUUGGGCGUAAAGAGCUCGUAGGCGGCUUGUCGCGUCGUCUGUGAAAUCCCGCGGCUCAACCGCGGGUCUGCAGUCGAUACGGGCAGGCUAGAGUUCGGUAGGGGAGACUGGAAUUCCUGGUGUAGCGGUGAAAUGCGCAGAUAUCAGGAGGAACACCGAUGGCGAAGGCAGCUCGCUGGGACGGUACUGACGCUGAGACGCGAAAGCGUGGGGAGCAAACAGG